rnacentral:misc_RNA from 2 species
GCAUGAUUUUAAUACAAAAUUAAAAAAUGCUAGAAAAUUCCUUGAUAAAGGCGAUAAGGUAAAAGCAUCCGUUCGUUUCCGCGGACGUGCGAUUACACACAAGGAGCUUGGUCGGGAAGUUCUUGACCGCUUUGCAGAAGAAGUAAAAGAUAUUGCGACAAUCGAAUCCAAACCGAAAAUGGAAGGUCGUAGCAUGUUCAUGAUGCUUGCUCCAGUAACUGAAAAAUAACAACUCAAGGAGGAACUCAAUAUGCCUAAAAUGAAAACCCAUAAAGGUUCUCAAAAACGUUUCAGCAAAACUGGUUCAGGAAAGCUAAAACGUUCA